AACGCCGCGUGAGUGAUGAAGGCCUUCGGGUCGUAAAACUCUGUUGUUAGGGAAGAACAAGUACCGUUCGAAGUAGGGCGGUACCGUGACGGUACCUAACCAGAAAGCCACGGCUAACUACGUGCCAGCAGCCGCGGUAAUACGUAGGUGGCAAGCGUUAUCCGGAAUUAUUGGGCGUAAAGCGCUCGCAGGCGGUUUCUUAAGUCUGAUGUGAAAGCCCACGGCUCAACCGUGGAGGGUCAUUGGAAACUGGGAGACUUGAGUGCAGAAGAGGAGAGUGGAAUUCCACGUGUAGCGGUGAAAUGCGUAGAGAUGUGGAGGAACACCAGUGGCGAAGGCGACUCUCUGGUCUGUAACUGACGCUGAGGAGCGAAAGCGUGGGGAGCAAACAGGAUUAGAUACCCUGGUAGUCCACGCCGUAAACGAUGAGUGCUAAGUGUUAGAGGGUUUCCGCCCUUUAGUGCUGAAGUUAACGCAUUAAGCACUCCGCCUGGGGAGUACGGUCGCAAGACUG
rnacentral:rRNA from 1 species